UACGUAGGGAGCAAGCGUUGUCCGGAAUCAUUGGGCGUAAAGCGCGCGUAGGUGGCUCCAUAAGUCCGUUGUGAAAGUCAAAGGCUCAACCUUUGAAAGCCGAUGGAUACUGUGGAGCUAGAGUACGGAAGAGGCGAGUGGAAUUCCUGGUGUAGCGGUGGAAUGCGCAGAUAUCAGGAGGAACACCAAUAGCGAAGGCAGCUCGCUGGGACGUUACUGACGCUGAGACGCGAAAAGCGUGGGGGAGCAAACAGG
rnacentral:rRNA from 1 species